rnacentral:rRNA from 1 species
AUUGAACGCUGGCGGCAGGCCUAACACAUGCAAGUCGAGCGGAGGAAGGGAGCUUGCUCCUGGAUUCAACGGCGGACGGGUGAGUAAUGCUUAGGAAUCUGCCAGGUAGUGGGGGAUAACGGCCGGAAACGGGCGCUAAUACCGCAUACGUCCUGAGGGAGAAAGUGGGGGACGUUCGGAGCUGACGCUAUGAGACGAGACUAGGUCGGAUUAGCAAGUAGGGGGGGUAAAGGCCUACCAAGGCGAGGAGCGGUACCGGGUCUGAGAGGAUGAACAGUCACACUGGAACUGAGAAACGGCCCAGCUUCCUCCGGGAGGCAGCAGUGGGGAAUAUUGGACAAUGGGGGAAAGCCUGAUCCAGCCAGGCCGCUUGGGUGAAGAAGGUCUUCGGAUUUUAAAGCACUUUAAGUUGGGAGGAAGGGCAGUAAGUUAAUACCUUGCUGUUUUGACGUUACCAACAUAAUAAGCACCGGCUAACUUCGUG